rnacentral:lncRNA from 1 species
UCCUGACUGAAACCCUUCUGUGCCCCCAGAGAUAAUGCUUUCUCAUGGAGGAAAGGGAUGAUCUGCAUGGUGUACAUGUGCAUUUCUAGCAGCUGUCACAUGCUAUUUAAUUCUAUAGUCAAUCCUUUUUAUUUGAGAUUACUGACACCUCUGAAGAAGGCCAAGCAAAAAUGGCAGUUGUAUUCUCCCACAAAACAACAAAGCAGUACCAGCCAAGUUUGAUGUUUCCCUGAGAGGUCCCCGAGGCCUGAUGAUGUGAAGCAUCAAGAAAACAAUGGGAGCAGUAGAGAGCGCUGCUGCUGACAUGAUGCUCUUUGGAGGGAAUGGAGCUAUUUCCUUGCUUUGAAGCAAAAGUGUCACUUGCAGUCCAUAUUCUAUUGAUAGUCGCAGAUAAAUAUGUCAUCUCUCAGUCCUGGUUUUGUCCCAUCGGUUGGAGCUGAAAGCAUGAAGCUUCUUGCAACAUUUAAUUUCCAUUUAAAUGACAACAAAGCCAUGGACUUCCUUUUUAUUAUAGAAUCAUCUUCUGCAAUAACUCUCUUUAGAAGAGUCCCUAAACUCAUUCAUCCCCAUAUAACUUUAACUCAGUAAAGUAGCACUAGGGAAGAAUUUGGCCCAUUAA